GCCGGACACGGGCCCGUGGAACGGGGAUCGCGGCGGGAAACCGCCGGUAAUCACCCGAAGAUCUCGAGAGAGCAAAGGCGUGAUUUCCGCCUUUGGAGCGGCCGACACGGUAUUAAGCUAGUUGGUGGGGUAACGGCCCACCAAGGCUGUGAUGCCUAGGGGAUGUGAGAGCAUGAUCCCCACCAUUGGGACUGAGACACUGCCCAGACACCUACGGGUGGCUGCAGUCGAGAAUCUUCGUCAAUGGGCGAAAGCCUGAACGAGCGACGCCGCGUGCGGGAUGAAGGCCCUUGGGUUGUAAACCGCUGUCGAGGGGGAUGAAGGCUUGAAGGUACUCCUUCAAGUUUGACAGAGCCCUGGAGGAAGCACGGGCUAAGUUCGUGCCAGCAGCCGCGGUAAUACGAACUGUGCGAACGUUAUUCGGAAUCACUGGGCUUACAGGGUGCGUAGGCGGCCGAACAAGUCAGGUGUGAAAGCCCUCGGCUCAACCGAGGAACUGCGCUUGAAACUGUUUGGCUC
rnacentral:rRNA from 1 species